rnacentral:rRNA from 1 species
GACGGAGGGUGCGAGCGUUGUUCGGAAUCACUGGGCGUAAAGGGCGCGUAGGCGGCCGUGCGUGUCGGGUGUGAAAGCCCGGGGCUCAACCCCGGAACGGCACCCGGGACUGCGCGGCUGGAGACCGGGAGAGGAGGGUGGAAUACCCAGUGUAGAGGUGAAAUUCGUAGAUAUUGGGUGGAACACCAGUGGCGAAAGCGGCUCUCUGGCCCGGUUCUGACGCUGAGGCGCGAAAGCUAGGGGAGCAAACGGG